UACGGGGGGGGCAAGCGUUGUUCGGAAUUACUGGGCGUAAAGGGCGCGUAGGCGGCCUUCUAAGUCGAACGUGAAAUCCCCAGGCUCAACCUGGGAACUGCGUCCGAUACUGGCAGGCUUGAAUCCGGGAGAGGGAUGUGGAAUUCCAGGUGUAGCGGUGAAAUGCGUAGAUAUUCGCAAGAACACCAGUGGCGAAGGCGGCUCACUGGCCCGAUACUGACGCUGAGGCACGAAAGCGUGGGGAGCAAACAGG
rnacentral:rRNA from 1 species